rnacentral:rRNA from 1 species
UACAGAGGUGGCAAGCGUUGUUCGGAAUUACUGGGCGUAAAGGGCGCGUAGGCGGUUCGUUAAGUCCUGUGUGAAAUCCCCCGGCUCAACUGGGGAACUGCACAGGAAACUAGCGGGCUUGAGUUCGGGAGAGGGAAGCGGAAUUCCGGGUGUAGCGGUGAAAUGCGUAGAUAUCUGGAGGAACACCGGUGGCGAAGGCGGCGUCCUGGACCAACACUGACACUGAUGAGCGAAAGCCAGGGGAGCAAACGGG